ACAUGUUCUAUUUUCUCCCGUGAGUGUUUUCCUUCUUUUUCUUUUGGGGCCAGAAGUCAGUAAAUAAGACCUGAGGAUAGAAAAUGCUAUGUUCUGACAGACACCUGACACAAUUACGAAGUGAUUGUCCUGUGAAGUGCUUUGUCAGCAACAAUCAUUUGUUGGUAGCCAGGCUCUACACAUGACAGUUUAUAACAGAGAGAGGCUGUUGGAUACCUUUAUCACAGAGUGGGGUGGGAACUUGAAGCUUGGAUGCAAUUCAGGGCUGUCAUGCAAACUGGCAGUGUGCCUGGGGGAGGUCACCCAAGCUGCCUACCUCAGCUCCCAGUCUGACCAUUCAGCAGCUGUAGGAUCACCUUCCUCAUUUUUGCAGUUUCCAAAGCUCAUUCCCCUAUGACUGGGGAAGCAUUUGGGGACACAUACCUCUUCCACUGUCCUUCAUGUUAAUCAGAUCUUUAAGGAUGUCAUCCCUGUGCCUGAAUUUUAAGGUUUACGAGAAAUGGGGCUGUGUGUUCCAGGUUCGUACUGUGCCACUGUAACUAAGAUGCUGCUGUGCUUAAUAACACAAAAAUAAAAACCACAGCUUAGCAGUUGGCUUCAGAAACAUUUCCUAAUCCUUUGGCACAGAUGUCAUGUUGAGCAUUUUUUUGAGAUGAAGGACAUGACAAAUGUUUUCCCUCUUUAAUAAUGACUACCAACUUUUUUUUUUUCUUACUGAGCUUGGUAUUUAUAAAUCAAAUUGCUUUAGGCUGUUUGAACCUAGGAAGCCAAGUGCUGCAGGGCAUGGCCAGUUCUGCCCCUUCAAGUCUGCUUUCAGCCAUGGGAGUUUGGGCUAUGUGAAGCAGAGCUGCCAGCUACCCAGGGCCGAGAGUUUAAAGCCAUUUCCCCUUGUCUACCCCUGUAAAAGGCUGGUCCUCCUAUUUGUAAGCUUCUCUCAAGUACUGGAAUGCUGUGCAGAGGCCUCCAUGGAGCUUCUCUCCAAGCUAAGCAAGCCCAAUUCCAUCAACCUUUCUUCAUAGAAGAGGUGCUCCAGCCCUCUGCUUAUCUUCGUGGCCCUCCUCUAGACCUGCUUUCUUGUGCUGGGGGUCCCAAGCUUGGAUAGGACUACUUCAUAUAGGGCUUUGCAAGGGCAGAGCAGAAGGAGACAAUCAUUUCCCUCACUCUGCUGCCACCCCUCUGUUGAUGCAGCCCAGGAUGCCGCUGGCUUUCCAGACUGCAGGCACACACUGCUGGCUCACAUUUUUAACCUACAAGGACCUCAAGUACUUCUCUACAGGGUUGUUCUUGAGGAUUUCUUCUCCCAGUCUGUAUAAAUACCUGAGAUGGCUCACACUCAAGUGCAGCACCUUGCACUUAGCCUUGUUAAACUUCAUUAGGUUUACAUAGGCCCACUUUUGAAACCUGUCCUGGUCCCUCUGAAUGACUUCCAUUCCUUCUGUUGUAUCAGCUGCACUGCUCAGCUUGGUGUCAUCUGCACACUUGCUGAGGGUGUAUUCAAUCCCACUGUCUACAUUGUUGAUAAAGACGUCGAAAAGCACCAGUCCCAAGAUGGACCCCUGGAGGACACCACUCAUGCCUGGGCUCCACCUGGAUAUAGAGCCAUUGACCACAAUCCUCUGGCUGCAACUGUCUGAACAAUUCUUUGUCCAAUCUUCACAUCCAUGUCUCUCAAAUUUGGAGGUGAAGAUGUGGUGCUAGGACCAUAUCAAAGGCCUUGCAGCAGUACGGGCAGAUGGCAUCAGUUGCUUUUUCUUUGUCUGCUGAUGUUGUCACUCCAUCAUAGAAGGCCAUCGGAUAGGUCAGGCACAAUCUGCCCUUGGUGAAGCUGUGCUGGCUGUCUCAGAUCACCUCUUCAUCUUGCAUAUGCUAUAACAUCUCUUCCAGGAGGAUCUGCUCCAUGAUCUUUCCAAGCACAGAGGAACAAAGGCAUUUAACUGCAAACUUACAGCAAACCACUCUCCGUUCUGCAUGAGUUCCAUCGGACAAAUACGAACACCAGAACAUCCAAGUGCGGAUGCUGCCUAAAUAACAUCUCGCAGAUAGCACCCCCAGCUGUGUUUGCAACAGCAUGAAAGGUAAACAGAGGUAAUCACUGCAGCAUACUGCUUCUUUUUUUUAUUUAAGCUCACGUAGAAUGUUGAUUCUCUGCCUUUUUUUUUUUUUAAUUCUGUUCUUAUUUUUUUUUUAACUUCAGUUUAAACUGAUGACCACGACUAUUUUCCUCCACUGCAAGAGUUAAACGUGCCCCUUCUAACUUAAGAAAGAUGCU